rnacentral:rRNA from 1 species
GAUGAACGCUGGCGGCGUGCCUAACACAUGCAAGUCGAGCGAACAGACCAGGAGCUUGCUCCUCUGACGUUAGCGGCGGACGGGUGAGUAACACGUGGUUAACCUACCUAUAAGACUGGGAUAACUUCGGGAAACCGGAGCUAAUACCGGAUAAUAUAUUGAACCGCAUGGUUCAAUAGUUAAAGACGGUUUUGCUGUCACUUAUAGAUGGAUCCGCGCCGCAUUAGCUAGUUGGUAAGGUAACGGCUUACCAAGGCAACGAUGCGUAGCCGACCUGAGAGGGUGAUCGGCCACACUGGAACUGAGGCACGGUCCAGACUCCUACGGGAGGCAGCAGUAGGGAAUCUUGCGGCAGGGGGGAAUGCCGGACAGAGCAACGCCGCGUGAGUGAUGAAGGUCUUCGGAUCGUAGAACUCUGUUGUUAGGGAAGAAGAAAUGUGUAAGUAACUAUGAUCGUCUUGACGGUACCUGGUGAAAAAGCAACGGCUAACUACGUG